AACGUUGCGCCCAGGACAACACUUGCUGCAGCCAAGAAACCCUAAGUAUAUCUCUAUGCGUUCAUCCCCUUAGUCUUAGGGUUGCCCCUAAGACGACGUAGAUACCACCUCCUGACACCGCCGUACCGGAAAGCACUUUUCCGGUACGGGCAGAGCCAGCAGCAUUCCAGGUUCAGAAUUGAACCCAAAGGCAGAAAUCACCAUUCUGAGAGUUGAACGUCGCCAUCCAUGAUUUAGACAUACCAUUCCAUGGCCUGUGCAUGCGCGUCCGUGUCCUUCACUACGUUGCCAUCACGUCCACCAACGCACACUUGACAUCCGUCCUGUCCAGAGCCGUCGUCGCGAGCUUCGACAACAUGAAUGUAAGCAACAUUCGGAACAUCCGUCCUGUUUGCAUGGGAUUGUCGUCCUCCCGCCGGCGGAAAAGCCACUCAACGUAUUGCUUUAGAAUUCCUACCCAAGCCUAUAACACAAACAUAAUAACAUUGUCCUAGCAUUCCAUAGCCCUACUUGACUUGCCUACAAACGAGUUGCCCCGGUCGGACCCUCCAAGUCUAGCCCAGUAGCUUACUGUGGGCUGACGUUAGUGAACAUGGAAUGCAAGCUGUGUGUGUGCUCAUCCCCUUUGAAAAAGGUUUGACUACGACUUGACACACAGACUCCCUCCUGCAACAAAUGCCCAUUUUCCGUACGAGCGUGACGAGCAACAUAAGAGAUCCAGAACCGACCACACCGGCAGAAUUCAUCGUUCAGUUCCUUAAACCUUCAUUUACGGUUUCCCUACAAACAGCUCCAUGCCUUGGAUAUGCGUCUGUUUUCUUCCUUACGAACAUCACAUUUUACGUUCGUCAGGGCCAGAGUCUUUGUGGCAAUCUUUCAUAUUCAGCACGCAAUGAACCCUUCAUGGACACCAGCUGCAUUAGCCUGGCUUGUCGUCCUUGCGGCAGCCUGGGCAAAUGGCCCAACGCGAUUUAAGUAUGCUGCUGCUUGCGGCCAAGAAACAAGCAUUCCAAAACUGUCAUAUCAUCCCCUGGUUUCGUUGUAUUUGGUUUGCAUACAAGUCGACGCGGAUACUACCUGCUGUGACCGCCGUAUCAGAAGACACUUUUCCUGUACGGGCGGAACCAACAACAGCGAAGUUCAAAAAACCCGACUAGUAGCUAAAAGUCAGCAUUCAUAGAGUUAAACGUCCCCGUCUGUGACUUGUACAUAACAAUCCAAGCAUCUCCUAAGCGUCUUUCUCCCCCUUCGUAAGGCCAUCGCGUCCACCAACGCACGUCUUACAUCCGCCCAGUACAGUGCCGUUGAAGCUGUGACGAGUAAUAUGAACGCUUAAGUAAUUCAUGAACAUCCGCUGCGUUUGCCUAGCAUUGUCGUAAAGGAGGUCGCGUCGGCAUCAGGCCAUCAACGUUGCGCCCAGGACAACACUUGCUGCAGCCAAGAAACAGAAAGUAUAUCUCUAUUCGUUCAUCCCCUUGGUCUUAGGGUUGCCCCUAAGACGACGUAGAUACCACCUCCUGACACCGCCGUACCGGAAAGCACUUUUCCGGUACGGGCAGAGCCAGCAGCAUUCCAGGUUCAGAAUUGAACCCAGAGGCAGAAAUCACCAUUCUGAGAGUUGAACGUCGCCAUCCAUGAUUUAGACAUACCAUUCCAUGGCCUGUGCAUGCGCGUCCGUGUCCUUCACUACAUUGCUGCUUGCGGCCAAGAAACAAGUGAUGCAAAACGUUGCCUCAUGUCCAUCCGUCCGGUCCACACACGUAAGAGCAAUUUUCCAUAACACGGAUGUAAGCACCGUUCGGGAUGUCCGUCGUGUUUGCCUCAGGAAGUCGUCCUCCCGGCGGCGGAUCGGACCCUAAGCACCGGCCGGUACCAGCUGGUACCAGCUCCUGGAGCCGCUUAAUCGAUGCUGAUCGUGAUGUGUAAUUGGUCCAGCAUAAAGCACAUUCUUCAUCAUCCGGAAGGGAUCCCUUAGCCGUAGUACAUGUAAAGGAUGCGCAGGACAAGCAGUGUAAGAGGUACUCGGAAAAGAACGCAAAAAAGACUGUUCCGUCCAAAUAGCUAACAAGCUGUACCUUGGCGGAUUGCAGGGCGCUUCUAACAUACAUGCCAUCCUUUGGAAGUCAUGUUGUAGGCUUGUCCUGUUUGGUUUAUGUUGGCAUUGCAUUAAGAAGUUCAACGUGA
rnacentral:lncRNA from 1 species